rnacentral:lncRNA from 1 species
GGAAGAGGCAUUUGGGAAAGAAAGGACAGAUUCAUAUUCCAGAACAGAUACUGAGUUGGAGGGUACAAAAUGCAGCAUGUUGUCCUUAUCUAAAACAGAAUGUCUCAGUAUUCUUCUGAUCCCUGGACAUCUAUAAACUUCACAAUAGAGAAUGAAGUUAUAUCUCUUUACAUUGCUGCAGAAAACAACAAUGAGAAGUCAGGGCUAUGAAGAACAAGUUGUGGCUGUGGAAAUAUAGUCAUUUCCCAGACGUUGUGCUGUGAAAACACUAUGGAGCAUGUAAUUAAUUUAUGAAGACUAAAUCUGAGAAAAGUAUGUUCAUUUUUAAAAAUGACAUGUUCUGUUGCUUGUUUUGUUGAAUAAAG